rnacentral:rRNA from 1 species
GACGAACGCUGGCGGCGUGCUUAACACAUGCAAGUCGAACGGAAAGGCCCUGCUUUUGUGGGGUGCUCGAGUGGCGAACGGGUGAGUAACACGUGAGUAACCUGCCCUUGACUUUGGGAUAACUUCAGGAAACUGGGGCUAAUACCGGAUAGGAGCUCCCGCUGCAUGGUGGGGGUUGGAAAGUUUCGGCGGUUGGGGUUGGACUCGCGGCUUAUCAGCUUGUUGGUGGGGUAGUGGCUUACCAAGGCUUUGACGGGUAGCCGGCCUGAGAGGGUGACCGGCCACAUUGGGACUGAGAUACGGCCCAGACUCCUACGGGAGGCAGCAGUGGGGAAUAUUGCACAAUGGGCGGAAGCCUGAUGCAGCAACGCCGCGUGCGGGAUGACGGCCUUCGGGUUGUAAACCGCUUUCGCCUGUGACGAAGCGUGAGUGACGGUAAUGGGUAAAGAAGCACCGGCUAACUACGUG